GCAAGUCGAGGGGUAACAGAUGAAGAGCUUGCUCAGAUUGCUGACGACCGGCGCACGGGUGAGUAACACGUAUGCAACCUACCUUACAUUGGGGGAUAGCCCAGAGAAAUCUGGAUUAAUACCGCAUAAUAUAUUUAACUCGCAUGAGUUUUAAAUUAAAACUUCGGUGGUAAAAGAUGGGCAUGCGUUCUAUUAGUUUGUUGGUGAGGUAACGGCUUACCAAGACUACGAUAGAUAGGGGUUCUGAGAGGAUAGUC
rnacentral:rRNA from 1 species